rnacentral:rRNA from 1 species
UACGUAGGGUGCAAGCGUUAAUCGGAAUUACUGGGCGUAAAGCGUGCGCAGGCGGUUUUGUAAGUCUGUCGUGAAAGCCCCGGGCUCAACCUGGGAAUUGCGAUGGAGACUGCAAGGCUUGAAUCUGGCAGAGGGGGGUAGAAUUCCACGUGUAGCAGUGAAAUGCGUAGAGAUGUGGAGGAACACCGACGGCGAAGGCAGCCCCCUGGGUCAAGAUUGACGCUCAUGCACGAAAGCGUGGGGAGCGAACAGG